GCGGCGUGCGGUGAUUCGUGAAUAAAAAACGCUUGCUUCUCUGCAGAAAAGAAAGAGGGCAGGGCUCAGUGUUUCGCUGUUUCGAUUCUUUUAGCUCUCAAAUACGGAAUAUCGGCGCUAUCGUGGAGUUUUUGACAGAAUUUCUGAUCCCCUUCGGCCUUUCCGGAAACAAAGAUCAAACGAAUUUGAUAAUUUGUCGUCGAUACUGCUGGAGUCGAAAUGAGUGAUGGAGUGUGUUUAAUUAUCGUGGAAAUUCAAAUGACAAGGAAAAAUAAUAAAAUUACGAAACGUUGA